AGGCGUUCAGCGUCAUAGGCGGACAUGCUAACCUCUGGUCUUUUAAUAAUAGAGUAUUGGAGGCCACCGUAGCGCAGAGGUCAGCAUGUUCGCCCAUGACGCUGAACACC
rnacentral:pre_miRNA from 1 species